GGCCAGAUAGCUCAGACGGUAGAGCAGCGGACUGAAAAUCCGUGUGUCGUUGGUUCAAUUCCGACUCUGGCCA
rnacentral:tRNA from 1 species